rnacentral:rRNA from 1 species
ACGAACGCUGGCGGCGCGUUUUAAGCAUGCAAGUCGAACGGUACGCAUGGUGCUUGCACUGUGCUGAGAGUGGCGAACUGGUGAGUAACACGUAGGUGAUCUACCUUGAGGCCUGGGAUAGCCUGUGGAAACACAGGGUAAGACCGGAUGAGCCCCUGUACUUGCGGGUAGAGGGGGAAAGGUGCUAUGGCACCGCCUUAAGAUGAGCCUGCGUCCCAUUAGUUAGUUGGUGGGGUAAAGGCCUACCAAGGCGACGAUGGGUAGCCGGCCUGAGAGGGUGAUCGGCCACACUGGGACUGAGACACGGCCCAGACUCCUACGGGAGGCAGCAGCUAAGAAUCUUCCGCAAUGGACGAAAGUCUGACGGAGCGACGCCGCGUGAACGAAGAAGGCCGGAAGGUUGUAAAGUUCUUUUGCGGGUGAAGAAUAAGGCGAGGAGGGAAUGCCUCGCUGAUGACGUUAGCCUGUGAAUAAGCCCCGGCUAAUUACGUGCCAGCAGCCGCGGUAACACGUAAGGGGCGAGCGUUGUUCGGAAUUAUUGGGCGUAAAGGGCGUGUAGGCUGUUUUGUAAGCCUGGUGUGAAAGUGCACGGCUUAACUGUGUAUGUGCGCUGGGAACUGCAAGACUAGAGUCCGGAAGGGGGAGGUAGAAUUCCUGGUGUAGGGGUGAAAUCUGUAGAUAUCAGGAAGAAUACCGGUGGCGAAGGCGACCUCCUGGUCCUGGACUGACGCUGAGGCGCGAAAGCGUGGGGAGCGAACCAGGAUUAGAUACCCUGGUAGUCCACGCUGUAAACGAUGUGCACUAGGUGUUGGGGCAAGAGCUUCAGUGCCGAAGCGAACGCGAUAAGUGCACGCCUUGGGAGUAUGCUCGCAAGGGUGAAACUCCAAGGAAUUGACGGGGGCCCGCACAAGCGGUGGAGCAUGUGGUUUAAUUCGAUGAUACGCGAGGAACCUUACCAGGGCUUGACAUAUACCGGGAGCCGUGAGAGAUCACGGUGCCCCUUUGGGGCCGGUAUACAGGUGCUGCAUGGCUGUCGUCAGCUCGUGCUGUGAAGUGUUGGGUUAAGUCCCGCAACGA